AUUGAACGCUGGCGGAAUGCUUAACACAUGCAAGUCGAGCGGGGUGUAGCAAUACACCUAGCGGCGGACGGGUGAGGAAUACAUAGGAAUCUGCCUCAGAGCGGGGGAUAGCCCGGGGAAACCCGGAUUAAUACCGCAUGAUGUCGCAAGACCAAAGUGGGGGACCGCAAGGCCCCACACUCUGAGGUGAGCCUAUGUCCGAUUAGCUAGUUGGCGGGGUAAUAGCCCACCAAGGCGACGAUCGGUAGCUGGUCUGAGAGGACGAUCAGCCACACCGGAACUGAGACACGGUCCGGACUCCUACGGGAGGCAGCAGUGGGGAAUAUUGGACAAUGGCGCAAGCCUGAUCCAGCAAUUCCGCGUGGGUGAAGAA
rnacentral:rRNA from 1 species